GAAAGCAGGCAAGAAUCACUCCUCAUUUCUGAGAUGAGGCCAGUUAUAAACAUUUUCCAAUUUACAGGCAAAUACACCCAAGUGGGAGGUGGCAUGGCAGGAAGUGCGGUCAGAAAUAACAAAUGCAGCAGAUGGAGUGUGAAAAGAGGCAGCAGUGUGACUCCAUGUAUUUUGGCAGGAGAACCUAAAAAGUCAUCAGAAAUUCCUAGGGGAAGACAGCUUGCAGAACAGAGAUAUCAGUGUAUUUAAAGGUAGUUUUGUAUUCUGCUUUAUCUGUGGCAAGUGGAUAGCUGCUAUAUUGGAACAGGUGCUGAUAUCUGGACUGAGGUUCCUGCCACUUGCAGCCAGCACAGUGCAAGAGUGCAAGGACUGACUAAUGUCAUCAAAACAAAUACCAGAUAUUACAAGCUUUCCCAGGAUCCUUGUUUUCCACUUCUUUAUAAUCUGUCAUACAUUUUAUGAAUGAUUUCAUUUCAACUUGUGUAUCUCAUCUAUUGAAUAAAAAACUGAAUUUUAAUAAAAUUUGAAACAUUUCAAAUAUUUGCAAGUGCAGAGACUUACAUUACUUGUCAGUUCCAAUUCUAAUUAAAGGAAUGCAUAAGAAACCUUUGCAGCUGAUAAAAUAUUUGCUAAAAUAAAAGUCACAAUACCUUGUACGAGGCUCCAGGUAAACUGAACAGUAAACAGUGAGACAGAAAAGAUAAAAUACAGUUUUCUGCUCUUCAGAGAACUUAAUGAGAGAUAAUGAUUUGUCUCCAACAGUAUUACCCUGUUUGAUUACAAAUCACUGUUUUGAGGCAUCAUUUUUUGCUCCGCUGAGGUUAAUAUUAAAUCUCUGACUUGAAUGGACCAAUAAUUUACACUAAAUUUUGUGCUUAAGAGCAAAUUAUUUUCAAUUUUCUCCAUCUUCUUGCCUUCUCACCUCAAUAAUCUAGAUCUUAUCAGGACCAGUGUGGUAUGGUAUCCUGAAAUAAAAUCUUGUAAAGUUAUUAUUUGCUCUUCCCCUGGAGGGAAAUCAGUUGUAGGAAGGCCUUCAGAUGUAAUUGAAGCAAGGAAGGAGACAAUGGAUACAUCUUAUGUUUUAUUUCUGACGAAAAAAAAUCCUCAAAUGUAUAGUUUUCAAACACCUGCCCAUAAGGCUUGAAGGCACCCAUCUCAUCAAAGCCAAAUCCAUAAUUCAGACAUGUAAAUAAAGAUGUAGGUUCAUCUCUCAAGGUACAUUAGUUUUAAGGGAUUUUAAACCCUUUAAACCCUAGUGCUGUCUUAUUUCUAUUAGAUGUUGAUUAGUAUCAUGUAAAAGGUGAUAACUAAAACUAAGAACUCUGACACUUCCAUUUUACUUUUGAAAAGAAUUCUGGUGUUAAAGCAUUCACUUCUGUUGAUUUU